UAAGUAGAAAAUAGCCACAGUCAUCUCUUAUUAGGUCUUUGAAUAAACAACGGCUGUUCCUUGAAUGCUUCAUUAUCAUGGAGGGUGUAGUCGCUACUUUUUCUUUUUUUCUAGGUGUUUGCAACUGCUAAGGAUGGCGUAGCUCUGGGCAGGCAGGUGGGACUCAUUGGGUUAUGGCCACUGAUCUUUGCUUCUGUGAUGGAGGGGCACGUGCCUCUGCUGCCCAGUCUGGACCAAUGCACUGAGCUCACAUCAGUGAGAAACUCCUGUGCUGCAGCACGAGAGGCUCGCCUGGAAUGCUGUGGCUUGGGAGGAGGAUGAGCUCAUGGCACAGAUGGGGAGGUGAGCACCAGACGGCACGUUGCAGCCAAACGGUGCAAGCAGAUGACAGAGGAAGAUUCUGCAUUUGGAGGAGCAGUCAUUUUCUGGUGACACUGGAACAUGCUUUUCUAAGUGUGGAAACUGUGGAGAGAGGACAAUAUGUCGAGGAAGUCAGAAUGGCCAAGACAAAACUGCAGAAAUUCCUACUGCUGAUAUCUCUACUUCGUGCCCAUUUACCAAACCCUUAUAUCCAUCAUAGUUCAGACAGCAUCAAGAAGUGGAAAAUAAUAAAGUCAGGCAUCAAGAUGUUGAAGCCAAAAGCAGCCAGCUGAGUCAAAUAAAGAAGGAUGGAAGGAGUGACUUAAAUAGUCGAAGAGCAUGAGGUAAGCUGAUAAAUUCUGGGGUAAAAUGGAGGAUAGGUGAUAUAUAGGGGUUAAAAGAAGAUAAUAAAAUUAAUGAUGAUCAGUAUAGUUUUUGAAAACUGUAUCGUGUCAAAAAUGAAUGUGCUUUUUGUAAGUUGUCACCUGUAAUGGUUUUGAUAUUUACUUAAAUAUACAUUUCUAUAUGAAUUUCUAUAAAGCAAGUAUUUUGUUCCAGAUAUUUGGCGUCACAACCAGGCAAGAAAUAGAGAAGAUGAAUUCAAGACAUUAAUUCAAUUGCAAUCUGGCAGAUAGUCAAAAAUGCUAAAGCGAUUGCAAAGGGGGAAUCAUUCAGAAAGGACACUUUUGACAGAUGCACCAAAAGUCUCAGUCCUUGGCUCUGAUCUGCUCAGUCCCUUGGUUUUUGGCUUGAGAACAAAUACUGUAUUUAAUUAGGCAAAGAUCGUGAUGAUACAACCAAUGAAGUAAUUUUAGGACAGCGUCAAGGACAAAACUGUUUUGUCUGGUAAGCUCAUCUCAUAGAAACAAUGUGUAUUUAAAUUGCCAGUCAAGUUCAAGGUACUUUCAGGCCAAAAUUGUGCUUUUAGUCAUGCUAUAUAGACAAUAUUUUGCUAACCAGUGACUUAGGCAGGCCGGUUGUUAUGAUGGGUAAUCAGCUAAACACACGCUCCCUUUGUGAUACAGUACACCUGAAAGCAAAUGCUACUGUCUUGCUGAGUAAAGGUCAAGGAGGUGGUAUUUCCAUGUGCACCACGUUAAUGAGACCAUUAUUGAAAUACCAAGUCUGCUUUUGGUGUUUACACAUUUUAAAGGGAUACUGACAGCCGGGCAGAGAACAGAGCAUGAGCAUAGGUUGAACCGUGCUGUCUAAAGAGAGGUGAAAAAGCUAAGUCUGUUUAGUUCGUGAAAGAUGAGGUUUGAUAUUCUUCCACCAGUACCAAAAAGCAAAGAGGUAUCUAAUAAUUAAUUAAUGGUUAGAUGCUGAGGGUGGACAGAUUCAGAUUAGAAAAUAGGCAACUAAAAAUGUCUUUUGUUUUCAGAGUCAGCAGCCAAUCACUUACUUUGGGAUGUUGGGUUUGUCUGUCAGGUUAAGUCUAUAAGCAGCAAGAAUGGAAUCUUUUUGAAAAAGAUAGGAUACUGGUAAGCAAAUUUGUGUGAGGUGCAUGUGUUACGAUUAAAUACCGUGGCUUAACAACUUCGAGUAAAGACAGUGAAUGUCUGGAAACAAUCCAAGUGUUACAGGCAGUAGCGCAGUUAAACUUGGUUUGAUCUGAGCACUGCAGGUAGAGAUGGCAGAGCAGGCAGCAAGAGUCAUCUUUCAGCUUGCAAACCGAAGGUGAAGCUCCUUGGAGAUGCUGCUGCUAAUUAGAGCAAGCUGCCUGGUAUACCAUGUUUAGCUCAGUCCUCUUGC